UAGUGAGUAGUUUAAAGAAAACGAUAGAUUGUGGUUCUGUAAAUAGGGUAAGCCUUUCGCUAG
rnacentral:tRNA from 1 species